AUGCGUAUUGACUUCAGCAUAGUGCUGGCAUCUAAGGCAGAAAGAACCAGUUCUGUUCUGGCCAUUUGUACUUCAAGGAGGGAAGAUCUGGGCACUAAUCCCGCCCUUGGCAGGAGUUCUGAGACUGGCCAGACCAAUCAAUGCGGGGCUGCAGUCCUUGCCACAUUACUGCUGGUGAUUCCGUUCUUGGGUUGGCUUUUGACGGGAGACGAAAUGUGCCCCAGCAGACACGUGCACCAGGGGGAGAACGGACUGCAUAGUUGGGCAGGUGUCUUUCAAAAAAAUACUAAACUUCUGAUACCAACAUGAAAGAUAUAAAAUGGUUGAGGAUGAUGGGCUCCAAGCUCAGGUCAGCGUGGGCCUGUCCUACCUGGGCAGCAACUGGUGGUGUGGUGUGGGAGCUGAACGUGGUUGAAUCCGUCACUGGGCUUGGCUGACCGAGGUCCACCCAGCCACUGGUCCCUUGGUUGGAUGCCUGGGGCCUCCUGCCUUGUCUGGGAUGUCCCUCCCUCCUUGGCCUUCCCACCGUGCAGACCAACUUAGAUUGCUACAGCUUCGAGCAGGCGCCGGGUUAGCUUUCUCCAUGGAAGAUGGCAGGCUCUCUCCAUUUCAUUCCUAACAGGGUAGUGACUUCACUCAAGUGCCAAGAUGGCAAAAUUAGCAGGAGAAUUUAGUAUUGUGCCGAUACCACUAAAUAUGGAACCUAGAAAACCAUGACAACUCUUCCAAACAAAAUACCAGUAUGGCUCUAGGUUUAGUUGAAGCUUUAAUAAGUGAUACUUUUCUGUAUUUAAAACGGAGUCUCUAUAUCGAGUGCAGUUUUUUUGUUUUUUUUUUUGGUUUUUUUUUUUUACUUUUUNGAAAAUGUUUACAAAAAAUAGUUUUGUUACACUAAUGGGCAUCACAUAUUUAUGGUCUAUUUUUAAGUGAUUUUUUUAUGGGUUAUUUAGGCUUUGGUUUUAGUUGUAGUCCACUUAAAUGAUGGUUCAUAAUCCCUAAUUUUGCCAAUUAUAAAUUUGCUAAACGGUAAUGCAAAUGACGAGCUGCAUUAAGUUUACUAAUCAGAACUGCGAAGCAGACUGGUGGCAAGUACGCAGCCUUGUUUCAGUGCUAACUUGUCUUCUGUGUAUUAUGAAAAUGACUGUGGUCCCUCUUCUCCCCUUUUUUUGUCCUUAAAUAAAGUAAAAGUGACACCUGUUUCAUGUGGCAUGAGUUUCAAAUAUAUUCUGUUCCUGCAGAAUGUUCACUUUCUAUAAGGAUCCACCUUCCCCGGUGCCACCCCAAGGCCCGAGUGAGCAGCUCCCAGAUUUCGCCACCUCCCUGAAAGGCGUGGCCCAGGGCAUUCCCAGGCACAAGUUACAAAAGCGGCAAACAUUUGUUCAGAGAUCUUAGAAUGCGGGGCUUCUCUAGGGGUCCAGUAGUUAAGAAUCCAGCUCCCUUGAAGGGGGCAUGGGUUUGAUUCCUGGUCCAGGAAGAUCCCACUUCCCGCGAGGUGACUAAGCCUCUGUGCCUCAAGUGCAGAGCUGAAACAACCCACUCGAAGGAAACGCUUGUGCCACAAGGGCAGCCGAGAACUGACACAGCCAAAUAAAUAAAUACUUUAUUUAAAAUCUUAAAAUGAAGUUGAUAGUGAGCUCUUGAUGGCCAUGUUCCUGAAGCCAAAAGCAAAAGCUUCUUAGAAAGAAACCGGCUUGUUUUUCCAAGCCUGAAUUGAAUCAAG
ensembl:lncRNA